GAUGAACGCUGGCGGCGUGCCUAAUACAUGCAAGUCGAGCGAACGGACGAGAAGCUUGCUCCUCUGACGUUAGCGGCGGACGGGUGAGUAACACGUGGAUAACCUACCUAUAAGACUGGGAUAACUUCGGGAAACCGGAGCUAAUACCGGAUAAUAUUUUGAACCGCAUGGUUCAAUAGUGAAAGACGGUCUUGCUGUCACUUAUAGAUGGAUCCGCGCUGCAUUAGCUAGUUGGUAAGGUAACGGCUUACCAAGGCAACGAUGCAUAGCCGACCUGAGAGGGUGAUCGGCCACACUGGAACUGAGACACGGUCCAGACUCCUACGGGAGGCAGCAGUAGGGAAUCUUCCGCAAUGGGCGAAAGCCUGACGGAGCAACGCCGCGUGAGUGAUGAAGGUCUUCGGAUCGUAAAACUCUGUUAUUAGGGAAGAACAAAUGUGUAAGUAACUGUGCACAUCUUGACGGUACCUAACCAGAAAGCCACGGCUAACUACGUG
rnacentral:rRNA from 1 species